AACUUCCGUUUCUACGGGUAGCGGAACCGGAAAUACGUCACAGGUCUAAAAGAUUGAAGAUAUUCAGACAAAAUUGGUAAAGCACGGAUUUGUCCUUAUUCUUUGAAAUUGCGUUUAGUAAAGAAUGAGCAAAGAAAACUUUUCGUCUGUUACAAGAGAUGAACAACAAUAGACCGCGAACGGUAUCAAUGGUCGACGCGGGAAACAAGCAGUCCUCUUCGACUAACAUGAUAACCGGAAGUAUGAGAACAGUUCAACGAGAUGGAAGCCGGGUGACAACUGUCGUAGCUACACCCGGUUUAGGAAGCGAUAGAGCUUCAGAAAUUUCAUACACGGACACUAAAGUUAUUGGAAAUGGUUCAUUUGGUGUUGUAUAUCAAGCGAGGUUGGCAGAGACCAACGAAUUAAUCGCUAUAAAGAAAGUUCUGCAGGAUAAAAGGUUUAAGAACAGGGAACUGCAGAUUAUGAGAAAGCUGGAACAUCAGAAUAUAGUACAAUUAAAGUACUUUUUUUAUUCUAGUGGCGACAAAAAAGACGAGGUAAGUGUUCUCUGAGCUUAAAGUUAUUUUCUCAUAUGGGAGUCGUACCUAGUCGAAAAUUUUUUCCCUGAGCCCGAUACUAAUCGUCAUAUUUCGUGAGUUGAUAAACUCUUUUAGUAUGAACAGUAUAACACUCUGCAUAUAAAUUUGUCAAUAAUUUAUCUAUAAAACUACAUAUAUUGUCUAAAUUACCUGGAGAUGGAGAACGCAACUAUCCCAAAAAAAGUAUUUUGUUAACGACUAUCAAAGCUUUUCAGGAAAAAGUUCAUUGUCCGUAAAGUCACGUUCGCUUUAUCAUACACAAAAUGUUACUACAAUUCCCUUAGAUAAAAAAAGUAUUGUUCCAUCCAGGGAAUUAUUUAUUAUGAAAGUUAGUUAUACCCAAUUUAUAUGCCUGUGAUAUACUCUUAUUAUUAUUUAAGAAUUCAUCAAAUUAUUUUGACUGUAAGAAGUAGACAACCCUCUUAAAAUGCUUUAAGUCAAUAAUACUUAAACUUCAAUAUUCAAUAUUUAAAUUUUAAAAAUGGCAAUAGUUCCAUAAUUAACGGUUUAAUAAUAACAGUAUUAAUGAUAGCUUAGGAGAUAUGAAUAUAGGAUUUAAAGAGGUGGAUUAGACGGUACAGAUAAUAUAAAAGUAGGGAGCAGGGAGGGAGUUAAAGAGGGAGGUGGAAAGGGAAAGAAGCUAUACUAAAAUUAAAUUAUAUUUGUAUAAUUUGAUAGAAUUAUCUUAUUAAUGUACAUUUAUUCUCUUUAUAUUCGUUAUUUUUUUUUAUUGUGAUAAGAAAAGAUGAGACGUGUUGGAGAAAAGACUUAAAAAAUUUUUUUACUACAUUUAAACGGCGUAGAUAUAAUUUGAUUUUAUCUUAUCUAUAAGUAUCUUAUAUAUUUUUAUUAGUCUCUCUAACAUUUACUAGCAAUCGUAGUCAAAAUUUCUACUUUUAUUUAUUUAAAAUUCCUAUGGGUAUUCUAGAAAACCGGAGGAAUAAUCAAUAGUUGUAAUUUAAGUGUCUUGUACGAAGUUGAGAAAGGGAGGGGAGGGAGGAGGGUGAGUGCUGGGCGUGAUAAGGAAAAAGUUGAAUUGAAAGAGAAUGUAGAAUAGGAAAUAUUGAUAAUAAUUAGAAGAAUACUUACUGUCAUAUACAUACAUAUAUAUGUAUCAUUUUUGCUGGAAAACUUUUAAACUGACGUUUAGUACCACAGCAAGACCGAUAGUUAACUAAAUAUUAAUACAAGCAUUACUAUUCUAGAUUCAUUCUCCAGGUAAAGCGACUCAUGUUGCGUCGAAGUGUCACAAGCUUUACAUCAAAGAUUGUUAUUGAUGAAUUUUCCACAGUUUUCUCUUAUAUAUUUUUGUAGGACUUGGUUUGUUAUUUAAAAGAAUUUAUGUAAAAUUUAUUUAUUUAUUUAUAUUUUAUUAAAUAAGUAGAUGAAUACGUCUUUUAGCUAUUUUGCAUACAUGGUCAUUUUUUGAAUAAUUUACACGUAUUAAGCAUAUAUUUAUAUACAUACUGUAUUCAUACAUAUUUAUCAUAAAUUGUGUUCUUAUUCUAUCUGUCUCUCGAUACAGGUGUACCUAAAUCUAGUUCUGGAAUAUGUACCCGAAACCGUUUACCGUAUAACGCGACAUUAUUCAAAGAUGAAGCAAACAAUCCCAAUGUUGUACAUAAAAGUAUAUAUGUACCAAUUAUUCAGGGGCUUAGCGUAUAUUCACCAGGAGGACGUAUGUCACCGCGAUAUAAAGCCCCAAAACCUUUUAUUAGAUCCUGAAUCGGGUGUUUUAAAACUGUGCGAUUUCGGUUCAGCCAAACAACUAGUACGCGGUGAACCUAACGUUUCCUACAUUUGUUCGAGAUAUUAUCGUGCACCUGAAUUAAUCUUUGGCGCUACUGAUUAUACGCCUCAAAUUGAUGUCUGGUCUGCCGGCUGCGUCGUUGCCGAGUUAUUAUUGGGACAACCGAUUUUCCCAGGAGAUAGUGGCGUUGAUCAGUUGGUUGAAAUUAUCAAAGUUCUUGGUACUCCUACUAGAGAGCAAAUUAGGGAAAUGAAUCCGAAUUAUACCGAAUUUAAAUUUCCUCAAAUAAAAGCGCAUCCUUGGGGUAAAGUGUUCAGACCCCGAACCCCGUCAGAGGCAUUGGACCUAGUAUCGAAGCUGUUGGAAUAUACGCCAACGAAGAGGAUCAUACCAUUGGAGGCCUGCGCCCAUUCGUUCUUCGAUGAACUACGUGGGCAAAAUACUAGAUUGCCUAAUGGACGACCACUUCCACCCUUGUUCAAUUUUACGGAGAAAGAACUCGCCGUUAGACCUGCUCUACAGGGACGACUCAUUCCCUCGACGUCCGAAAAUCAGGAACAGCAAGCUUCCGGUGGAGACAUGUAAAAUAAAAACAAAACAGAAACUAAACUUUAAAUCAUUAAAAAACAAAAAAAAAACAAAACAAAAAAAAUUUAUUGAAAGAAAACAAAAGAUAAUUUAAAAACAAGUGCGUUUUUAACCGACUAUUUCAUUUCUUUUCUCUUUUUUGUUGUGCGUACGACGUUUACUUUUUGUUCGUUUAGGUAAGACGAGUGUAAUAUUCGUUGUGUAAAAAAGAAAAAAAAGGAAGAAAAAAAGAAGAAGGAGAAGAAGAAGAAAUGGAAAGAAUCGUAAAAAAACUGCAUUAAAAAAAAUUUUAAUAUGUUUUUUUUUUUUUUUUGCAGUUUUUUUUCUUUUUUUUUU
rnacentral:misc_RNA from 1 species